rnacentral:rRNA from 1 species
UGCGCCUUGCCACGCCCGCUCAGAAACUUAAAGGAAUUGACGGGACCCCGCACAAGCGGUGGAUCAUGUUGUUUAAUUCGAUGAUACGCGAAGAACCUUACCAGGUCUUGACAUCCCCCGCGAUGCUUUAGAGAUAAAGCGGAGGUAUUCGGGGAGACAGGUGGUGCAUGGUUGUCGUCAGCUCGUGUCGUGAGAUGUUGGGUUAAGUCCCGCAACGAGCGCAACCCCUAUUGCUAGUUACCAUCAUUAAGUUGGGGACUCUAGCGAGACUGCCAGUGAUAAACUGGAGGAAGGUGGGGAUGACGUCAAAUCAUCAUGCCCCUUAUGACCUGGGCUACAAACGUGAUACAAUGGCUGGAACAAAGGGAUGCGAAGCAGUGAUGUGGAGCGAAACCCAUAAAAACAGUCUCAGUUCGGAUUGAAGUCUGCAACUCGACUUCAUGAAGUCGGAAUCGCUAGUAAUCGCGGAUCAGAACGCCGCGGUGAAUACGUUCUCGGGGUUU